UACUGUUAGACUUGAGUUAUUGUGAAGUAGUUAGAAUGUGUGGUGUAGCGGUGAAAUGCAUAGAUAUCACACAGAAUACCGAUUGCGAAGGCAGAUUACUAACAAUAUACUGACGCUGAGGGACGAAAGCGUGGGUAGCGAACAGGAUUAGAUACCCUGGUAGUCCACGCCGUAAACGAUGGAUACUAGCUGUUCGAUCAACAUUGGUUGGUUGAGUGGCUAAGCGAAAGUGAUAAGUAUCCCACCUGGGGAGUACGCUCGCAAGAGUGAGACUCAAAGGAAUUGACGGGGGCCCGCACAAGCGGUGGAGCAUGUGGUUUAAUUCGAUGGUACGCGAGGAACCUUACCAGGGCUUAAAUGUAAGUUGCAUAGAUCAGAGAUGGUCUUUUCUUCGGACUACUUACAAGGUGCUGCAUGGUUGUCGUCAGCUCGUGCCGUGAGGUGUCAGGUUAAGUCCUAUAACGAGCGCAACCCCUGUCGUUAGUUACCAGCAAGUAAUGUUGGGUACUCUAGCGAGACUGCCGGUGCAAACCGCGAGGAAGGUGGGGAUGACGUCAAAUCAUCACGGCCCUUACGUCCUGGGCUACACACGUGCUACAAUGGCCGGUACAGAGAGCAGCCACUACGCGAGUAGGAGCGAAUCUUCAAAGCCGGUCUCAGUUCGGAUCGCAGUCUGCAACUCGACUGCGUGAAGCUGGAAUCGCUAGUAAUCGGAUAUCAGCCAUGAUCCGGUGAAUACGUUCCCGGGCCUUGUACACACCGCCCGUCAAGCCAUGGAAGCUGGGGGUACCUGAAGUCGGUGACCGAAAGGAGCUGCCUAGGGUAAAACUAGUAACUGGGGCUAAGUCGUAACAAGGUAGCCGUA
rnacentral:rRNA from 1 species